GAUUGAACGCUGGCGGCAUGCUUAAUACAUGCAAGUCGAACGGUAACAGGCAUCGGUGAUCCCUUCGGGGUGAUCUUGGCGCUGACGAGUGGCGAACGGGUGAGUAAUGCUUGGGAAUCUGCCCGGUAGUGGGGGACAACCCGAGGAAACUCGGGCUAAUACCGCGUAAGCUCCACGGAGGAAAGCGGGGGAUCUUCGGACCUCGCGCUAUCGGAUGAGCCCAAGUCGGAUUAGCUUGUUGGUGGGGUAAUGGCCCACCAAGGCGACGAUCCGUAGCUGGUCUGAGAGGACGAUCAGCCACACUGGGACUGAGACACGGCCCAGACUCCUACGGGAGGCAGCAGUAGGGAAUAUUGGACAAUGGGCGCAAGCCUGAUCCAGCAAUGCCGCGUGUGUGAAGAAGGCCUGCGGGUUGUAAAGCACUUUCAGUGGGGAAGACAAACUCGAGGUUAAUACCCUCGGGUCUCGACGUUACCCACAGAAGAAGCACCGGCCAACUCCGUGCCAGCAGCCGCGGUAAUACGGAGGGUGCGAGCGUUAAUCGGAAUUACUGGGCGUAAAGCGCACGCAGGUGGGCUGG
rnacentral:rRNA from 1 species